GAUGUCCGAAUGGGGAAACCCACUCCUUAUGGAGUAUCCAUGGCUGAAUACAUAGGCCAUGUGAAGCGAACGCGGUGAACUGAAACAUCUAAGUAACCGCAGGAAAAGAAAUCAACCGAGAUUCCCAAAGUAGUGGCGAGCGAAAUGGGAUGAGCCUUGUACUCUUUAUUUGUAUUGUUAGCCGAACGCUCUGGAAAGUGCGGCCAUAGCAGGUGAUAGCCCUGUAGGCGAAAACAGUAUGAAAGAACUAGGUGUACGACAAGUAGGGCGGGACACGUGAAAUCCUGUCUGAAGAUGGGGGGACCAUCCUCCAAGGCUAAAUACUCGUGAUCGACCGAUAGUGAACCAGUACCGUGAGGGAAAGGCGAAAAGAACCCCGGGAGGGGAGUGAAAUAGAUCCUGAAACCGCAUGCAUACAAACAGUCGGAGCCUCGUAAGGGGUGACGGCGUACCUUUUGUAUAAUGGGUCAGCGACUUACGUUCAGUAGCAAGCUUAACCGUAUAGGGCAGGCGUAGCGAAAGCGAGUCCGAAUAGGGCGUUCAGUUGCUGGGCGUAGACCCGAAACCAGGUGAUCUAUCCAUGGCCAGGAUGAAGGUGCGGUAACACGUACUGGAGGUCCGAACCCACUAACGUUGAAAAGUUAGGGGAUGAGCUGUGGAUAGGGGUGAAAGGCUAAACAAACCUGGAAAUAGCUGGUUCUCUCCGAAAACUAUUUAGGUAGUGCCUCGUGUCUCACCUUCGGGGGUAGAGCACUGUCAUGGUUGGGGGGUCUAUUGCAGAUUACCCCGCCAUAGCAAACUCCGAAUACCGAAGAGUGCAAUCACGGGAGACAGACAUCGGGUGCUAACGUCCGGUGUCAAGAGGGAAACAACCCAGACCGCCAGCUAAGGUCCCCAAAUAUAGCUAAGUGGGAAACGAAGUGGGAAGGCUAAAACAGUCAGGAGGUUGGCUUAGAAGCAGCCACCCUUUAAAGAAAGCGUAAUAGCUCACUGAUCGAGUCGUCCUGCGCGGAAGAUGUAACGGGGCUAAGCUAUAUACCGAAGCUGCGGAUGCGUGCUUAGCACGCAUGGUAGGAGAGCGUUCCGUAAGCCUGCGAAGGUGCGUUGUAAAGCGUGCUGGAGGUAUCGGAAGUGCGAAUGCUGACAUGAGUAGCGAUAAAGGGGGUGAAAGGCCCCCUCGCCGUAAGCCCAAGGUUUCCUACGCAACGUUCAUCGGCGUAGGGUGAGUCGGCCCCUAAGGCGAGGCAGAAAUGCGUAGCUGAUGGGAAGCAGGUCAAUAUUCCUGCACCGUCGUUAGAUGCGAUGGGGGGACGGAUCGCGGAAGGUUGUCCGGGUGUUGGAAGUCCCGGUCGCUGCAUUGGAGAAGGCGCUUAGGCAAAUCCGGGCGCAGGAUUCAAGGGUGUGGCGCGAGCUCCCUCGGGAGCGAAGCAAUUGGAAGUGGUUCCAAGAAAAGCCUCUAAGCUUCAGUCUAACGAUGACCGUACCGCAAACCGACACAGGUGGGCGAGAUGAGUAUUCUAAGGCGCUUGAGAGAACUCGGGAGAAGGAACUCGGCAAAUUGGUACCGUAACUUCGGGAUAAGGUACGCCCUUGUAGCUUGAUGCGCCUGCGCGCAGAGGGUGAAGGGGUUGCAAUAAACUGGUGGCUGCGACUGUUUAAUAAAAACACAGCACUCUGCAAACACGAAAGUGGACGUAUAGGGUGUGACGCCUGCCCGGUGCCGGAAGAUUAAAUGAUGGGGUGCAAGCUCUUGAUUGAAGUCCCGGUAAACGGCGGCCGUAACUAUAACGGUCCUAAGGUAGCGAAAUUCCUUGUCGGGUAAGUUCCGACCUGCACGAAUGGCGUAACGAUGGCCACACUGUCUCCUCCCGAGACUCAGCGAAGUUGAAGUGUUUGUGAUGAUGCAAUCUACCCGCGGCUAGACGGAAAGACCCCAUGAACCUUUACUGUAGCUUUGCAUUGGACUUUGAACCGAUCUGUGUAGGAUAGGUGGGAGGCUAUGAAACCGGAACGCUAGUUUCGGUGGAGCCGUCCUUGAAAUACCACCCUGGUUUGUUUGAGGUUCUAACCUUGGCCCGUGAUCCGGGUCGGGGACAGUGCAUGGUAGGCAGUUUGACUGGGGCGGUCUCCUCCCAAAGCGUAACGGAGGAGUACGAAGGUACGCUAGGUACGGUCGGAAAUCGUGCUGAUAGUGCAAUGGCAUAAGCGUGCUUAACUGCGAGACCGACAAGUCGAGCAGGUGCGAAAGCAGGUCAUAGUGAUCCGGUGGUUCUGUAUGGAAGGGCCAUCGCUCAACGGAUAAAAGGUACUCUGGGGAUAACAGGCUGAUACCGCCCAAGAGUUCAUAUCGACGGCGGUGUUUGGCACCUCGAUGUCGGCUCAUCUCAUCCUGGGGCUGUAGCCGGUCCCAAGGGUAUGGCUGUUCGCCAUUUAAAGAGGUACGUGAGCUGGGUUUAAAACGUCGUGAGACAGUUUGGUCCCUAUCUGCCGUGGGCGUUGGAUAUUUGAAGGGGGCUGCUCCUAGUACGAGAGGACCGGAGUGGACGAACCUCUGGUGUACCGGUUGUGACGCCAGUCGCAUCGCCGGGUAGCUAUGUUCGGAAGAGAUAACCGCUGAAAGCAUCUAAGCGGGAAACUCGCCUUAAGAUGAGAUAUCCCUGGGGACUUGAUCCCCUUGAAGGGUCGUUCGAGACCAGGACGUUGAUAGGUCAGGUGUGUAAGCGCAGUAAUGCGUUCAGCUAACUGAUACUAAUUGCCCGUAAGGCUUGAUCCUAUAACA
rnacentral:rRNA from 1 species